UAGUCUAAAGUAGGAGGGGGAAAGGUACUGUGCAAUUUUGCCUCAAUUUCACUUUAUUUACGAGUCUGCCACAGGCUAUCUCUGCCGAUGAUCUUGAUGCACACGCAUUGAUGAUCGCGGGAAGGGAAGAACGACGGUAAAGCCGGCCCUUUCCAUCUGCUUCUCAAACCCUCCUUGCCUCCUCCGUCUCGCAGACCCACGACACAGACGAUCUCGCCUCCAUCCUAUCCUCCUCUCGUCGCCGUCUCCCUUCUCUUGCUUUCGUCGUCUUACUCCUCCUUUCUCUGUCUCUGGAAUCCUCAGGUCAUCUUCCUCACAUAUAAGGCUUUGGCCCUCUCAAUUGAAACCAAAACGUGUUUUAGUUCUGAGGAAGAGCACGAAAAAGGAAGAACCAGUAUUAGAAGGUCUUCUCAAACAGUACUUCGAUGAUCCAUGAAGGAUUUGAUAAACCCACAAUUGAUAACAAUGUACGGCAGCACCAACGGUUUUGGACAAGGUACAAGGGAUACUCACCCCCUU